UCGGGUGUAGCUCAGUGGUAGAGCAUUUGGCUAGCAUACAUCAGGCCCUGGGUUCAAUUCCCAAUCCUGGAA
rnacentral:tRNA from 1 species